rnacentral:rRNA from 1 species
GUCACCAGCCAUAUCACCCUACAACUCACAACUGGCAACCCACUGAAGCUCAGUAGGUGUGAGCCUGGUCAGUACCUGGAUGGGAGACCUCCUGGGAAAAACGAAGGUUGCUGCUGGAA